AGCGGCGGACGGGUGAGUAACGCGUGAGAAUCUACCCAUGAGUGGGGGACAACCCGGGGAAACUCGGGCUAAUACCGCAUACGCCCUACGGGGUAAAGCAGGGGACCUUCGGGCCUUGCGCUGAUGGAUGAGCUCGCGUCGGAUUAGCUUGUUGGUGAGGUAAAGGCUCACCAAGGCGACGAUCCGUAGCUGGUCUGAGAGGAUGAUCAGCCACACCGGGACUGAGACACGGCCCGGACUCCUACGGGAGGCAGCAGUGGGGAAUCUUGGACAAUGGGGGCAACCCUGAUCCAGCCAUGCCGCGUGUGUGAAGAAGGCCUUCGGGUUGUAAAGCACUUUCAGUAGGGAGGAAGGCUUACCCCUAAUACGGGUGAGUACUUGACGUUACCUACAGAAGAAGCACCGGUUAAUUUCGUGCCAGCAGCCGCGGUAAUACGAAAGGUGCAAGCGUUAAUCGGAAUUACUGGGCGUAAAGCGCGCGUAGGCGGUGUGUUAAGUCGGAUGUGAAAGCCCAGGGCUCAACCUUGGAAUUGCAUCCGAUACUGGCACGCUAGAGUGCAGUAGAGGGAGGUGGAAUUUCCGGUGUAGCGGUGAAAUGCGUAGAGAUCGGAAGGAACACCAGUGGCGAAGGCGGCCUCCUGGACUAACACUGACGCUGAGGUGCGAAAGCGUGGGAGCAAACAGGAUUAGAUACCCUGGU
rnacentral:rRNA from 1 species